rnacentral:rRNA from 1 species
AUGUCACUCCCUCCAUCACCGCCGCCGUUACCAUCCACCUCCGUCCAGCUCUCGCUGCCGCCGGCCACUUCCACGGCGAUGACGGAGAUCGCGUCCGGGACCACCGCCCCCUCCGCUCCAGCGGCCAUCACCACUACGGGGGAUCCGCCCCCGCUCCUCUCGCCGGAGGAGGUGUCGGGCACCCUGCGGGAGCUUGUCCAGGCGGUCAGGGGUAUUACCCUCUACCUCGCCGGGAACCAGCCCCCGCCACCGAGCGCCGUCACCACCGUCUACGGACCGCCGCCGCUACAAUGGGCCGUCCCGGUCCUCCAGGCGCCCUCCGGAGGGGCGCCCCAGCUGCCGCUGCUGCUGCCGCACUACUCGGCGGCGAGACAACCUUGGCCAGCGUGGCUGGCCUCCACCACGCCGCUGGGGGGCCCGACCCAGCAGUUUCUUCCGGCGCCACCGCCGCCCCCUCCCCCGACGCAGGCGUUGGUGCAGUAG